UCCCUGAUAGCUCAGUUGGUAAAGAAUCCGCCUGCAAUGCAGGGGACCCAGGUUCAAUUCCUGGGUUGGGAA
rnacentral:tRNA from 1 species